rnacentral:rRNA from 1 species
ACAGCUGUGAAUUGUACCCAUACCCGUCGAGAACUACGUAUUUGUGCGGUUAGCACUUGCGCUGUUUGGAUGGGUUCCAUUUGCUGCCUUCAUCUUUGCUUCAAUUGAAGUAAGAAGUAGAGUAGAAAUAAGAAACCGGCACGGUUUGUGCCCAGGACUGUUGUUGUUGGAAAGCUUGCCAUCAUUUUGAUGUGCUUUUGUUAUUCCAGUGAGCGUCUGAAUGACUCCUGGGAAUGGAUAUCUUGGCUCUCGUGUCGAUGAAAAACGUANCGAAAUGCGACACUUGGUGUGAAUUGCAGAAUCCCGUGAACCAUCUAGUCUUUGAAUGCAAGUUGCGCUCGAGGCCAUUANGUUGAGAGCACGUCUGUUUGGGCGUCAUGCCUCCAUUCAUUCUAACCACCCACCUAGUGAGUGAUGGCGGAUGUGGAGAUUGACCCUCCGUACCAUAAUGGUGCGGUUGGUUUAAGUGAAUGUUGUCGUUAGGUCUACGCGCGGCGAAUGGUGUAUCGAGUUAACACACGAUGUCUCUAACUGCGUCCAGGAGUCCUACGCACGAUGUAACAAUAAUGUGAAACCAUUUUCGACGUAUGCCUUAGUUGCAAGCUCGGAACAUGACCCCAGAUCAG